AGAUCAUGUUGAGGGCAGUUACAAAUCAUUCGUCUAUAACUUUCCCAAGCUUCAUACAAUGAUUCACCAACAUUUUAUUGGAAGUCCACAAUAUUUUUUUUAAACU